CGUAGGGGGUGGUUGUGUCCAUCGCUUCAAACGUAGGCGGGAAAAGUGACUUCGGACGUGUUCUAUUUUAUCUGCGUCUCAAUGGUGCAAUAGAAUGAUGGAUUUUGGGAUAUUUGUGCGUGUUUAGUGCAGUUGAGAUCAUAGAAUCUAAGAUGAGGCUCCGCUGGGUUGCAAUUUUCUCGACCAUUCUAUACGCCGUUUUCGCAAUCACAGUGAACAUACCACAGGAUGAAAAGGACGCCCAUAGACUACUCUUCAAACAAUAUAGGAACACGGCGACGCGAGCCUCGCCCGGGAUAGCGUGGGAUUUACCCGGCCACGGACAUAAUCGCGCACUGUUUGGUCAUCUGCAGGAUUCGACAGAGU